rfam:Heligmosomoides polygyrus genome assembly, scaffold: HPBE_scaffold0011517
GCGCCGGUGGUGUAAGGCGAACAUCGCUGCCCGGAAAGCAGAAGAUGCGGGUUCGAGUCCCGCCUGGCCCA